GGAGAGCCUGUCCUCUGUCCCUAAUGCAGUUCUUAGAUGCCUAAAUAAUGUGAAUUUUAAAGACAGAGACACUUUGCUUGCACAUUUUCUGGAAAGUGAGCAGGCAGCUCAGCCACCAGUGUUAGACUCAGGGACCUCCUCCAUCAGUUCCGUGGUAGAGAAUGGAGCACUUCCGAACCCCCCAGAGGAUUGGCUGCCCUGCGCUUCCUACACAGAUCAUUAAGUGAAGUUCUCCUUAGACGACAGACACCAGAAGACAAAGACAUUUACAGAGCCACCCUUGGGAGCCCAGUUGUCAUCUUGGCUCAGGAAGUCCCCACAUUCAUCUGCUAGGUGUAGAAGCCAUCCGGAGCUCUGCUGCGGGCCAUCUGGGACUAGAAAUUUGCCUGGAGUUUGUAAGCAGGAGCCCCUUCCAAGAGCAGAGAAAGCAUAGCCUGGGGCACGGGCCCUGUGGCUCCGGAGCACCUCUGGAAGGGACACACCCCAGGAAGACGCGCGGGGGCCCUCCUGGCCGCCUCUGGUAAGCCUUUCAGGCCUGUCUUCACCAGCGUGAAUUUGUCUCUUUCAAAGGGACGACAUUGAGGUCGGCAUGCCUACUGAGCAUUCCAUGUUUUCUGGAAAGUGAACGUACGGAAGCAGCUAACAGGACACAGACGUACGUGAGCAGAUUUAUCCUGCCUGCCUGCUGAGGAUGCCAUCGGCUGGAGGCUGAACUGCCAGCUUCACAGAUUUCCUAUAAGUUGCCCAUUAUUAAAUUUUAAUUACAUAGUUGAACUAAGAGCUUUAUGCUAAUAAAGACAAACUAGAAAUAAAACUUUCAAAAGGGACAAUUGUCCUAAUCUAUUUCACUUGGGUCUAGGGAGAUAGAUCAUUGUUUCA
rnacentral:lncRNA from 1 species